rnacentral:tRNA from 1 species
CGCGAGCUUGGGUUGCAGUCGGGGCGGUUCUCGCUCGAAGCGUGGCGACCGGAUGAGGUCGAGAUCGAGCGUUCGAGCCGUCCGGAUCGUGC